UUAAACCGGAUUUAACAUACAAUCAGACCGGAAAUAAUUUAAUUGAGGGCUAGCUAAUAAAUUUCAUAUAACAAAAAAUUUUGAAAUUUUAAAAAUAAAUCUGCCAAAAAAAAUCUGUUAUUACUAAAAAGGUUAUUCUAGUCAUAAACAAAUCGGCCAUAACAUUGACAUGAGUAAAUCUGUUAUGCUUUGACACUGAAAAACAAAACUGUCAUCACUAAAAACAAAUCUGUUAUCACUAUGUGACUGUGUAGUAAUUUUAUUUUUUAACAAAAAUCUGUUGUAAAACACCAGAUUUGUUAACAAGUUAAUUAAAUCUGUGAUUACACAAAACAACUCUGUCAUGCCUAUAUAACAUUUUUCGAGGUUAACAAAUCUGUUAUAACACAACAGAUUUUUGGGUGCAAAUAGAAAAUCUGUUGCCACCAUAAAGAAAAAUAUGUGGUCCGGAAAACAAAUCAGUGACAGAUUUGGUUUCAACAUUCUUACUUUUGAAAUUUAAAUAAAAUCUGUGGAGACUAUAUGAAACAAAUCAGUCACGGUUAAAAAAUCUGCGAAAAAAAAAAAAUCUGGCGUAACAUAACACAGUAAAGUCUGUGGUACAAAACAAGUCUGUUGUAAAAAAUCUGUGGUUGACCAACAAAUCUGUGAUCGAUAACAAAUCCGUCGCAACAAGUGCCACAGAUUUACCAAAAACGACGAUGGCAUUUUCGUAAAUAAAUGUGGUUUUAUUGCCUUGCUGGAAUUAAAUAGUAAUGGCAUUUCUGUAAUAUUGUUUUUCUCUGCAAAGGAAAACAAGGAUAAUUUAGGUAUAAUUAUUACUCAAAUAACUCAUAUUUUUAGCAUUCCUUUUGGGUCAUUAUGUAUAAAAUAUGGGUUACUCUAGUAAAUUUCCCAAUCUCUAAUGUUUGUAUUGCGCAGAACGGGUUAUAAAGGGAGAAAGGAAAUGAAAGUUUCUAUAAAAUAUAGAUAUUCGAGAGGGAUAAAGCUUAGUGGGGAGAAUGAGUGCAGUUAUAAAAUCAGUUCCAUAAACUGUUUGAGACGAGGUAACGGUCGAGGACUUGUUCUCUUUAUAAUUGUGA
rnacentral:sRNA from 1 species